rnacentral:tRNA from 1 species
GGAGAGGUGCCGGAGUGGACGAACGGGGCGGUCUUGAAAACCGCUGAACCCUCACGGGUUCCGUGGGUUCGAAUCCCACCCUCUCCG